AGUCUGUGAAGGGUUCUAAUUGGCUGGCCCAUGGCAAGGCUGCGAAAUGCUCUGAUUGGCUGGCCUGCAUCACAUGCUCAGCUCUAGUCAAUAGCAUCACAAUGCAAUUUCAGAGCGUGGGAGAGGAGGUAGGGGAGAAAGCACAUUCCAGGAAAGAGAUUUUAGAUGGACAAAUUACAUUUAGAAGCUUUUAACAGAGUACCUGGCUUGUGAUAAGUGCUCAAUAAAAGCUAAUGCUAUGAAGAUAGACCAAGAAGGAUAAGUUGGGUCCACAGCGAGGGGCUGUCAGAAGAUUGGUCCGACAACGGAGGUGUGGCAGAGGGUGGAGAAGCUGAUGGCAGAAAGACGCUCUGGGACCUUGGUAUUCAGACACAGAAUAAAGGGCUUCAUUCAAUGAUGGAAAAGAAUGACAGGCUUUGAGAAUCUACUCCCAGGGGACGCAGGUAGCAUCAUACCUUGUACUCAAAGGAUGAAUGAAUGAGUAUGAUACAGUGGAAAGGCCAUGGAACUUGGUGACUCCGCACUCUGAUGGAUCCAGUGACACCACCCAGACCGAUAAACUGGCUCCUCUGGUCUUGUGGCCACCACCCAGGGGCUGACUCAGAGCAAGAGGACAGCCUGACCUCCCUGUGAUUUCAUCCUCAACCCAACCAAUCAGCACUCCCCAUUCCCUAGCCCCCUGCCUGCCAAGCUGUGUUUCAGGGAGGCUAAUUUGAGUAAUAAUAACACUUCAGUCUUCCUUUUAGCCUGCUCUCCAUUCAGCCAACUCUACAUGAAUUAAACCCUUUCUCCAUUGCAAUUCUCCUGUCUUGAUAAAUUGGCUCUCUCUGGGCAGCAGGCAAGAACUCACUGGGUGGUUACAG
rnacentral:lncRNA from 13 species